UAAUCCUUUUCUCUUUUUUCUCUCUUCUCUCUCUCUUCACCCUCUCUUCGCCGCCUCUAUGCCGCCGCCGAAAAUCGCCCACCGGCGGCGGACCACCUCCAAACACCCCCAAAUUUACACUAUAUAAUUUCCACAACUUCCUCUUUCCAUAUCUCCAAAUCAAAUCCUUCAAAAAAACCCCUCAAUCUCCUUGAAUCUUAGAUCUAGAAAACUUUCCCGUCACUUUUUUGCCCAAAUUCUUGAAGCUCCAACCACUACCACCCCACAAUACCUACAUUAACGGAUAGAACUCCUCAAGACCUAGCUAUUGAUGCCAAUUUCACACUAAAAUCCGACGACCAAAAUCCGAACAAAUUUUGGCGGCCUUCCCGAACACCCUCUUUUGGCAUACUACCAUUUUUUCGGCCACUUGAAUUGUAAAAUGGUAAAAAUCCUAUUCUUUUUCAUGGCUGAUUUUUUAUUUUAUUUUUAUUUUUCAGAUUUUAUUUUGUCUAUUAUUAAUUAUUUUAGCAUUAGUUUUUGAUGUUUGAAAUGUUAAAUUUUUUUGUUUUUGCACUUGCUGAAGUAGUAAAAUAGCUUUCUAUUGCCUAUUUAAGGGGCUUCCCUUUCCUCAUUAUAGGGGGGGGACUCCAUUACACUUCCAUAGAGCUUUUAGAAUUACUUUGAACAUACAAAAACAUAAAAAAAAAUUCAGCAGUUGAACACAUGAAAAAUAAGCUGAAAUGGUGAGCUUUAGGAGUAAAUCUUAGAGUGCAAACUUUUUAGAAAAGUAUAAGUCUUCUUUAGAGUUCGUUUCUGGGUUUUUCUCUAAGUUUUCGGGCUGUUUUAACACGGAUUUGCUACUGGUUCUCUGCUGUUUUGCUGCUGUUUUUAUGUUGCUUUAGUUGCUGAACUACUGUUUAUUCUUUUUCUAUCCAGUUAAUCCUUUAAGACUUGUAAUGUAUGUAUUUUCAGCAAUGGGAACAACUUGAACAUGCUGCACCAUUUAAAUGUGUUUGAUGUGAUAAAUAGUUCGACAACAAAAGAGCUUUGUAUGUUAUUGUUAGGUAUCAAGCAUGUGAUAAUGUGAAUAUAGUCCUUCAUAAUACUUGAAU
rnacentral:lncRNA from 1 species